GAGCAUUUUACUCUGUUUGGUGGGAUUCACUCUUGCAGCAACGGCUCCACCUUUCGAUCCGAAUACAUUGGAUGACUCAGGGGUUAGGUCACCGUUGGAAGGUGAUAAAGGGUUUAAAAUGACAACCAACAAUCCUCAAUCAACAAUGGUACCACAGAAUAACAGUGAAAAUAAUACGAGUAUACAGGGGGGUGGUAUUCAACAGUCAAUUGAAAAUGGAGAGGACACCCAGUGGGAUGGUAUCCGGGAGCCAGUUGAAAAUACUUUUGGGUUUGCACCACCACAUGCUGAUGGAGAGGACACCCAGGGAAAAACAAAACAAUGAAAGAGGACACACGGCAGAGGGCUCAACUCAACAGCUCAUAUUUUAAGUUCUGAUGGAGAAGUACCACCAUCAGGAAGAGGAAGAAGCAGGAGAUUUGAUCAUUCUGCUACUGCUUCUUUUGACUAAAAAUUUUAUUAAAAACAUUGUGAUAUUUUCCUUUCAUUUCUUAGUUUGGCUAAUUUAACGUCAGUUAAACUUUAUGGAUCUAACCCCCCAAAAAGUUAAAUUUAAAUAAUUUAUCCCGAUUUGAAAAAAUUUACACCAACUAUGACAUAUAGAUAGCGCAAAAACAAAAAGAAAAGGCUGGCAAUAU